rnacentral:rRNA from 1 species
AAUAGAUACCCGGGUAGUCCAUGCCGUAAACGUUGGGAACUAGAUGUAGGGCCUGUUCCACGGGUUCUGUGUCGUAGCUAACGCAUUAAGUUCCCCGCCUGGGGAGUACGGCCGCAAGGCUAAAACUCAAAGGAAUUGACGGGGGCCCGCACAAGCGGCGGAGCAUGCGGAUUAAUUCGAUGCAACGCGAAGAACCUUACCAAGGCUUGACAUAUAGAAGAACACUGCAGAGAUGCAGGACUCUUUGGACACUUCUAUACAGGUGGUGCAUGGUUGUCGUCAGCUCGUGUCGUGAGAUGUUCGGUUAAGUCCGGCAACGAGCGCAACCCUCGUCCUAUGUUGCCAGCACGUGAUGGUGGGAACUCAUGGGAUACUGCCGUGGUCAACACGGAGGAAGGUGGGGAUGACGUCAAAUCAUCAUGCCCCUUAUGUCUUGGGCUUCACGCAUGCUACAAUGGCCGGUACAAAGGGCUGCGAUACCGUAAGGUGGAGCGAAUCCCAAAAAGCCGGUCUCAGUUCGGAUUGGGGU